UGACACACAGGCUGGCAGGCAGGCAACUGCAAUUACAUUACACAGAAAAAAAAAAAGCAGACUGAUGUUACAGCAGAGAUCAGAUGAGUCCUUCAGGACUGUAGUGGACACUGAAUACACUAGCCUAGCUAUCAAUUUCCCUAUCAAAUCAGCAGCAGCUGAUCUCUGCUGUAACAUCAGUCUGCUUUUUUUUUUCUGUGUAAUGUAAUUGCAGUUGCCUGCCUGCCAGCCUGUGUGUCA